UGGGGAAUUUUGGACAAUGGGCGCAAGCCUGAUCCAGCAAUGCCGCGUGCAGGAUGAAGGCCUUCGGGUUGUAAACUGCUUUUGUACGGAGCGAAAAGGCUUUAACUAAUACUUAAGGCUAAUGACGGUACCGUAAGAAUAAGCACCGGCUAACUACGUGCCAGCAGCCGCGGUAAUACGGAGGGUGCAAGCGUUGUUCGGAAUUAUUGGGCGUAAAGAGCGUGUAGGCGGCCGGGUAAGUCAGAUGUGAAAGCCUUUCGCUUAACGAAAGAAGUGCAUUUGAUACUGCCUGGCUAGAGUUCGGAAGAGGAGAGUGGAAUUCCUGGUGUAGAGGUGAAAUUCGUAGAUAUCAGGAGGAACACCGGUGGCGAAGGCGGCUCUCUGGUCCGAUACUGACGCUGAGACGCGAAAGCGUGGGGAGCAAACAGG
rnacentral:rRNA from 1 species